rnacentral:rRNA from 1 species
CUUGAACUAAAUCUAGCCCAACCCCAUAUUUAACUAACUAAACCCCAAAUUAAACCAAAACAUUCAUAAUUUAAAGUAUAGGAGAUAGAAAUAUAUCACAGGCGCUAUAGAAAAAGUACCGUAAGGGAAAGAUGAAAGAGCAAUUUAAAGUACCAAAAAAGCAAAGAUUACUCCUUCUACCUUUUGCAUAAUGAAUUAGCCAGAAACAGCCUAACAAAGCGAGCAUUAGUUAGACACCCCGAAACCAGACGAGCUACCUAAAAACAGUUUUCAGAACCAACCCGUCUAUGUAGCAAAAUAGUGGGAAGAUUUUUAGGUAGCGGUGAAAAACCUAACGAGCCUGGUGAUAGCUGGUUGUCCAGGCAUGAAUUUUAGUUCUAUAUUAUAUUUACCUCAAUAAACAAAAAUACCACUGUAAAUAUAAAAAAUAGCCUAAAGAGGGACAGCUCUUUAAACCAAGGAUACAACCUCCAACAGAGAAUAAAUAGUAUGUAAAGUUAUACAGUGGGCCUAAAAGCAGCCAUCAAUAAAGAAAGCGUUAAAGCUCUACAACUCACUACCCAAAUACCAAUAAUACAUCACAGAAUUCCUAACCUACAACUGGACUAUUCUAUAAAUAUAUAGAAGCUAUUAUGCUAAUAUUAGUAAUAAGAAACCAAUUUCUCCAAAGCACAAACUUAUAUCAAACAAAACAAUUGAUCAUUAACAACAAAAUAGAAUAAACUAUAUCCACAUAAUAUCUAUUAAAAAAAUGUUAACCCAACAGAGGGGUGCUACCAAGGAAAGAUUAAAAGAAGUAAAAGGAACUCGGCAAACACAAACCCCGCCUGUUUACCAAAAACAUCACCUCUAGCAUAAAAAGUAUUAGAGGCACUGCCUGCCCAGUGACACACGUUUAACGGCCGCGGUAUCCUGACCGUGCAAAGGUAGCAUAAUCAUUUGUUCUCUAAUUAGGGACUAGCAUGAAUGGCUUAACGAGGGUUUUACUGUCUCUUACUUCCAAUCAAUGAAAUUGACCUUCCCGUGAAGAGGCGGGAAUAGCACAAUAAGACGAGAAGACCCUAUGGAGCUUCAAUCUUCAACUCAAGAACCAUCAAUUUACUACAAUACAAGUAGCCAAUAAACAUUUCUAUGAGUAAAAGAUUUUGGUUGGGGUGACCUCGGAGCAGAACCAAACCUCCGAAUGAUUUGAACCCUAGACUAACUAGUCAAAGCAAUAUGAUCAUUAAUUGACCCAUAACUUGAACAACGAACCAAGUUACCCUAGGGAUAACAGCGCAAUCCUAUUUAAGAGUCCCUAUCGACAAUUAGGGUUUACGACCUCGAUGUUGGAUCAGGACACCCAAAUGGUGAAGCCGCUAUUAAUGGUUCGUUUGUUCAACGAUUAAAGUCCUACGUGAUCUGAGUUCAGACCGGAGAAAUCCAGGUCGGUUUCUAUCUAUUAAAAAUUCCUCCCAGUACGAAAGGACAAGAAGAAUGGAGCCUCUCCAAACAUACGCUCCUAAUAAAUAGAUGAAGUAUAUCUUAACCUAAAUAACUUUACAACCCCAGACCCUAGAACAGGGUUUU